UAACCGUAGGUGAACCUGCGGAAGGAUCAUUAAUAAUUUGCCGAACCUAGCGUUAGCGAGGUUCUGCGAUCACUUAUAUUUAAAACCCAACUCUUAAUAUAAAUUAUGUAUUUUUUUAAUGAUAAAAAUUAAAAGAUCACUUUCAACAACGAAUCUCUUGGCUCUC
rnacentral:misc_RNA from 1 species